GAAAUGCGAUAAGUAAUGUGAAUUGCAGAAUUCAGUGAAUCAUCGAAUCUUUGAACGCAGCUUGCGCUCCUUGGUAUUCCUUGGAGCAUGCCUGUUUGAGUAUCAUGAAAUCUUCAAAGUAAAUCUUUUGUUAACUCAAUUGGUUUCUACUUUGGUAUUGGAGGUCUUUGCAGCUUCACACCUGCUCCUCUUUGUUCAUUAGCUGGAUCUCAGUGUUAUGCUUGGUUCCACUCGGCGUGAUAAGUUAUCUAUCGCUGAGGACACUGUAAAAGGUGGCCAAGGUAAAUGCAGAUGAACCGCUUCUAAUAGUCCAUUGACUUGUACAAUACUUUUAUGAUCUGAUCUCAAAUCAGGUAGGACUACCCGCUGAACUUAAGC
rnacentral:misc_RNA from 1 species